rnacentral:tRNA from 1 species
UGGCUCAGUGGUAGAGCAGUUGCCUCUCAUGCAGGAGGCCCUGGGUUCGAUCCUCAG